rnacentral:rRNA from 1 species
CGAGAAUUUUUCACAAUGGACGAAAGUCUGAUGGAGCGACGCCGCGUGGAGGAUGAAGGUUCUUGGAUUGUAAACUCCUGUCACUGCAGAACAAGGGUAGCCAUUUGAAUAUCUUGGCUAUUUGAUGGUAUGCGGAGAGGAAGGGAAGGCUAACUCUGUGCCAGCAGCCGCGGUAAGACAGAGGUCCCGAGCGUUGUUCGGAUUCAUUGGGCGUAAAGGGUGUGUAGGAGGUCGGGUUAGUCAGGUGUGAAAUCUUCCAGCUUAACUGGAAAACUGCGCUUGAUACUGCUCGGCUAGAGGAUCGGAGGGGGUAACGGAAUUCAUGGUGUAGCAGUGAAAUGCGUAGAUAUCAUGAGGAACACCGGUGGCGAAGGCGGUUACCUGGAAGAUUCCUGACUCUGAAACACGAAAGCCAGGGGAGCAAACG